UAUGAAUAUAUAAUGAUUAGACCAAAUUAAAAUUGCAGAAAAAAUUCCGGUACAGGAAUGAUCUGGUGGCUGGGACGAUAGGUGCUAUAGAUAUGUCCUUCACGCUCCUUGCACGUUUGUAACAUUUUAAAAGUAGCGAUCCCUUAACUUGGUGAAUAUGGUUCUGUGAAAAUGACUUUGAAAUUUGUGGAAUUAACCCUCAAUGGAAAGUUAAACUUUCUUUUGGUUUUAUGUAUUGUGACACUAUCCAAGGCAACUUUUUUGAGACUAACCUGUCCUGAAGGAUGGAUUUUGGUAGGGACUAAGUGCUACAGACUGUAUGGCCAAGAUACCAUAACCAGCUCUACGUGGGACAAU